ACAGAAUGGAGUGUACUCUUGCUACUAGAUUUUAUUCAUAGGCACAGGGUCCCCUAGAGACAGUGUGGGGAGUGAGAAGGAGAGAGAAAAAUCUUAAAUUUCAUCCUCUGGGCCUAUUGUUAGUGGUGAUUAUGACUCACUGAUAUUUACGUAUUUUUUAAAAAUUUAUGUUGACAACAUUAGGCAGAAAAAUGUCAGUGUAAGGGAAAAAUGCAAAUAUAUAAUUUUUUUAAAGAUUUUAUUUAUUUAUUCAUGAGAGACGGGGUGGGGGGGCAGAGGGAGAAGCAGAUUCCACACAGGGAACCCGACGUGGGACUCGAUCCUGGGUCUCCAGGAUCACGCCCUAGGCUGAGGCAGCGCUAAACCGCUGAGCCACCCAGGCUGCCCACAAAUACACAAUUUUUAAAGAUUAGUAAAAACUCUGAUCUAUCAUUUGAAUUCAUGUCUCUAGGUAUUACCCCUUUUUAGAUACCACCGAAAAAGGGGAAAGCCAUAUGAAUCCAGAGAGUGAAGAAGUCAGUAGUGUGCUUAAUGAGUUUUGUGAGGACACGUACCUCCCUUGAACACGAGGACAAAAGCCUAGAAGGUUCCAAGGCUGCCAGGUGCUCACAGCCUGCAGGGAACAGCUGGUUCAGACCUAGUCCCCAUGUCUGCCAGCCUCCCAGACCUGCUGGCCUCGUGGAUUGACCAGUCAUGGGUCCAGCCUGGGGGUCCAGCCCGCUGAGCACCCAGCGAUGUGGUCUGAUCAGUGGUGUGCUGAGGGGAGAGGUCGUUCUCAUAUGGAGCUGCCAAAGGGGAGCCCUGGAGGCCGAAUGAGCCCUGGAGGCCGAAUGAUAACUCCCUGAGGAUUUAUUGCAUCAACAAGGACAGAAUGACAGCUCCAGUCCAAGCCCUGCCCCUUGGAGGAUGUGUGUCCUUGGGAAAGUCACUGUGAAUGGGAAUAAUAAUGCUCACUCUGGAGACAUCCUCCACCAUGGGCCUGGGAUGGGUCAAGUUUAUUCCUUUGUAAAUAAAUAUUUUUUGUGAACUCA
rnacentral:lncRNA from 12 species